rnacentral:rRNA from 1 species
GACGAACGCUGGCGGCGUGCUUAACACAUGCAAGUCGAGCGGAAAGGCCCUUCGGGUACUCGAGCGGCGAACGGGUGAGUAACACGUGAGUAACCUGCCCUUCACUUUGGGAUAACCCUCGGAAACGGGGGCUAAUACCGGAUAUGACAUGGGGAUCGCAUGGUCUUGUGUGGAAAGUUUUUCGGUGGGGGAGUGGCUCGCGGCCUAUCAGCUUGUUGGUGGGGUGGAUGGCCUACCAAGGCGACGACGGGGAGCCGGCCUGAGAGGGCGACCGGCCACACUGGGACUGAGACACGGCCCAGACUCCUACGGGAGGCAGCAGUGGGGAAUAUUGCACAAUGGGCGGAAGCCUGAUGCAGCGACGCCGCGUGAGGGAUGACGGCC